GAUGAACGCUGGCGGCGUGCCUAACACAUGCAAGUCGAGCGAGGGUUUGCUCAGUAUUGAGUAUUCUAAAACUAGAAUGUUCAAUUCUGAGCAAAACCAAGCGGCGGACGGGUGAGUAACGCGUGGGUAACCUGCCCUAUACACAUGGAUAACAUACUGAAAAGUUUACUAAUACAUGAUAAUAUAUAUUUGCGGCAUCGCAGAUAUAUCAAAGUGUUAGCGGUAUAGGAUGGACCCGCGUCUGAUUAGCUAGUUGGUGAGAUAACUGCCCACCAAGGCGACGAUCAGUAGCCGACCUGAGAGGGUGAUCGGCCACAUUGGAACUGAGACACGGUCCAAACUCCUACGGGAGGCAGCAGUGGGGAAUAUUGCACAAUGGGCGAAAGCCUGAUGCAGCAACGCCGCGUGAACGAUGAAGGUCUUCGGAUCGUAAAGUUCUGUUGCAGGGGAAGAUGA
rnacentral:rRNA from 1 species